rnacentral:piRNA from 1 species
UAAGAGAGUGUGAAGAAGGGUGACGACC